CGGCCCAGACUCCUACGGGAGGCAGCAGUAGGGAAUCUUCCGCAAUGGACGAAAGUCUGACGGAGCAACGCCGCGUGAGUGAUGAAGGUUUUCGGAUCGUAAAGCUCUGUUGUUAGGGAAGAACAAGUACCGUUCGAAUAGGGCGGUACCUUGACGGUACCUAACCAGAAAGCCACGGCUAACUACGUGCCAGCAGCCGCGGUAAUACGUAGGUGGCAAGCGUUGUCCGGAAUUAUUGGGCGUAAAGGGCUCGCAGGCGGUUUCUUAAGUCUGAUGUGAAAGCCCCCGGCUCAACCGGGGAGGGUCAUUGGAAACUGGGGAACUUGAGUGCAGAAGAGGAGAGUGGAAUUCCACGUGUAGCGGUGAAAUGCGUAGAGAUGUGGAGGAACACCAGUGGCGAAGGCGACUCUCUGGUCUGUAACUGACGCUGAGGAGCGAAAGCGUGGGGAGCGAACAGGAUUAGAUACCCUGGUAGUCCACGCCGUAAACGAUGAGUGCUAAGUGUUAGGGGGUUUCCGCCCCUUAGUGCUGCAGCUAACGCAUUAAGCACUCCGCCUGGGGAGUACGGUCGCAAGACUGAAACUCAAAGGAAUUGACGGGGGCCCGCACAAGCGGUGGAGCAUGUGGUUUAAUUCGAAGCAACGCGAAGAACCUUACCAGGUCUUGACAUCCUCUGACAAUCCUAGAGAUAGGACGUCCCCUUCGGGGGCAGAGUGACAGGUGGUGCAUGGUUGUCGUCAGCUCGUGUCGUGAGAUGUUGGGUUAAGUCCCGCAACGAGCGCAACCCUUGAUCUUAGUUGCCAGCAUUCAGUUGGGCACUCUAAGGUGACUGCCGGUGACAAACCGGAGGAAGGUGGGGAUGACGUCAAAUCAUCAUGCCCCUUAUGACCUGGGCUACACACGUGCUACAAUGGACAGAACAAAGGGCAGCGAAACCGCGAGGUUAAGCCAAUCCCACAAAUCUGUUCUCAGUUCGGAUCGCAGUCUGCAACUCGACUGCGUGAAGCUGGAAUCGCUAGUAAUCGCG
rnacentral:rRNA from 1 species